AUAUGUGAGGAAGAAGAUAAAUGGGUGGAAAGAUUCGAAUAGUGUGUUAGGAGGAGUUCACAUGCAUAUGAGGUGUAGUGCUCAUAUAAUCAACUUGAUAGUUAAGGAGGGUUUGAAGAGAUUAGAAAGCUCAAUUGUGGCAAUCCGUAAUGCGGUCAAGUUUGUGAGGGGUUGGUGGUGAUGGAUGUGCCCACUAGGUGGAACUCCACUUAUUUGAUGCUUGAUGCGGCAUUGAAAUUU